rnacentral:miRNA from 1 species
CUGGAGCUGAGCAGAGCCGGC